rnacentral:snRNA from 1 species
GGAUGUGAGGGCGAUCUGGCUGCGACAUCUGUCACCCCAUUGAUCACCAGGGUUGAUUCGGCUGAUCCUCCCUCACUGCUCCAUGUGUGUGCCUCUUGAAGCUGCAUGCUCGGUGGAAGAGCAUGGCCAUCCCAGAUAGGAGUGUACCGUUCUUCAGUCAAGGGUAUACGGUAGCUGCCCUCCCCUGCUCUGACCAGAUUAUCCUACAGAUUUCUUAAUACAUGUUAUUCUGGCUCAGCAUCAUUCUGUUAUUUCCUUGGAUGCCAUUUUA